GCACAAGCGGUGGAUGAUGUGGAUUAAUUCGAUGCAACGCGAAGAACCUUACUACCCUUGACAUGUCCGGAACUUGCCAGAGAUGGCUUGGUGCCCGAAAGGGAAUCGGAACACAGGUGCUGCAUGGCUGUCGUCAGCUCGUGUCGUGAGAUGUUGGGUUAAGUCCCGCAACGAGCGCAACCCUUAUCAUUAGUUGCUACGCAAGGGCACUCUAAUGAGACUGCCGGUGACAAACCCGGAGGAAGGUGGGGAUGACGUCAAGUCCUCAUGGCCCUUAUGGGUAGGGCUUCACACGUCAUACAAUGGUCGGUACAGAGGGUUGCCAAGCCGCGAGGCGGAGCAAAUCUUUAAACCUAUUCUCAGUUCGGAUUGGAGUCUGCAACUCGACUCCAUGAAGCUGGAAUCGCUAGUAAUCGCGGAUCAGCCAUGCCGCGGUGAAUACGUUCCCGGGUCUU
rnacentral:rRNA from 1 species